rnacentral:lncRNA from 10 species
AGUCUGGGAGGCUGGCGCAAACGCAGCGGGUGGCUGGGGUAGGGGCUCAUUGGGAGCCCACGGAGCGCGGCGGCGGCUCGGGGGCCGAGUUCCCUACAACAAGGAUGGCGGUGACGGGCGCAGGGAGCGGGGCCCGGCUCUCCUUGCCUCGAGGCUCCUCUGAUUCCACUCGCGUGGCUGCGCGGCCCUGGCAGCGGCCUUCGUCCCGGGGGUGGGAGCUACACAGGGUUCCGCCCCGUCCUGGCGAGGACGCCUGAGGGGGCUCUGUGAUAAAGAAAUGGGGGCUCCGAGCAGUCAAGAAGAACAUGCCCCAAGUUAUUCGUCAGUGAGGCGGAAAUUGUGGUGUACUUGUUUUCUGUGGGUCAGGAGAUCAGAAAUGGUUCUAUUUCAAGGACUCUCACAGGGCUGCAAUCAAGAUGUUGGCAUGGCUGGGGUCUCAUCUGAAGGCUGGACUGGAGAAGAAUCUACUUCCAAACUUAUGUGGUAGUUGGAAGAAUUUAGUUCCUCAAGGCCGCUAAACUGAUGGCCUGUGUUCCUUGCCUAUGGGAUGGUAGCUUGCUUCAACAAAGUGUGCAAGCAGAGAAGACAGAGAGUCCGCUAGCAAGAUAGAAGCCACAAUCUCUUGUAAUCUAUCAUUUUUGCUGUAUUCUACUGGUUAAAAAUAACUCAUUAGGUUAGCCUACUGGCUCUCAAGGGGAAGAGAUUAUACAAAGGCAUGAAUUUCUGGAGGAGGGAAUGAGGGCAAAGAAUUCUGAGAAGUCUGUCUUCCACAAUCUGAAGAACUUCUAGAAAGUAGGAGGAAGCGAUAUUGCUUAGGGAUGGACAACUUGGCACUGGUUAUGUAUUUCAAGUGAGGUAACCUUGUUCCCAAGAAUAAAGAGAACCAGACGACUGUAAACAUUUCCCUAAACUGAAAUGCAGACUGUUGUAUGUUCCCCUGAAAUGAAUGGUGUAAGCUGAAUAUAAGAUUUUUGACAAAAAUUUUGCUGUGUUCUCAGAUCUGGCAGGCCCCUGCCCUUGUGCAAACAAUGUUCCUGGCAGCUAUUCAUCUCCUUAGGUAAAUAAGAAUUGGAGAAAAGCUGU